rnacentral:lncRNA from 1 species
UGGCAUUAGUCACACUCCUGAGAAUUGCCUCUUGACAUCUUCUAAUAGAGAGUGCUGUAAGUGAUGGGAGAACUUUUGGUAAUUCAACCAAAAGCGGGCAAUCAUGGAUAAAAAGAUUUUCCAGUGAAGGAAGGAAGGUGGGCAAUUUUCCAACCAACUUGGGACAAUUUUCUAUUCGGAGUUGACGCAGCUUAGGAAAUUUUGGCAAAGUAUCUUCACCCAGACCUUUAGACCAAGCCCACAGCUCCCACUCACCCAUACUUCCAAUCUCUAGUUCUUCCAAACAAGAAAAACAUGAAUCAUCCUCAUAAAACUCAACACCCACUUCUUUCACUCCACUCAUAUCUCCUAUGCUCAACUUUUUUAAUGACUUUAAUCGUCCAAGUGGUGGCAAUGAUGUCAUUUGGCGACACUUCCAUAGCUGCACCUGCACCAUGCCAGAGAAUGAAGGCUCACCCAGCCAUGAUGGGAAUUUCCUACCACCAAAUGAUGUAAUUGAUAGGCUUGACAGACUUUGAUAUGGCUGAAUUGAGUUGAGAACUUGUUCUUCAUGACUUGGGUUUCUCAAAUCAUCAAAACGUUCAUCGGCUUCAGCCCAUUCCAAGUGCAACUCAGUGAUACCAGGCUUAUCCUUCAAAUUGACAAAGCCCGCAUCUCGAAUAUCUGCCACUUCCACAUUCUCUAAACUUGUAAUAUGAAGCUGCCCUCGAAGAUCACAAAGUUUCUUUAGCUCUGUGAUCCGGCCAUUGCUUUUCCCCACGAUAAAUUUGGUCAACACGCAGAGACUAGUCAAAUUACCAAUAUGUGGUGGCAUCUCUUUCAAAUUCCUUGUGCCAAUAAUGUCAAGAUGCUGCAAGUUGAGUAAAUUGCAUAUGCCUUUAGGUAACUCAAUAAGCUCAUCACAAUCACGCAACUUUAAUGUCUGUAAGUUGAAGAGUUUAUCCACUGAUUCAGGCAAUCUUCUGAUUGGAGUAUGAGAUAAGUCAAGGUAGCGUAAGUGCUUUAAGUCACCAAUAGAAUUUGGCAACUCCUUAAUCUUAUAACCAGCUAGAGAUAGUGACCUUAAGCAUUUUAAUUUUGGCACCAACUCAUGCACCACCUUACUAGUAAUGUAGCAUCUAAAGCGAUACCCCCCCCGCAUGGGUAAAAAUGUCCGCAAAUUCUUCAUUCCAUAGAAGCUUUGAAAUCUUUGAGCAGUGUCUCUAUAAUGAGAAAUAAAUGAUGAAUGUCGAAUCUUUGCAUAUGGUUUUGUACUCUCCAACUUAUCAACCAUAUGUAAACAUGUUUCCCCACUAACAUAGCAAGCUAACUCAAUAAUUAGGUCAUGCAUUAAAUAUUUGGAUUUAUCAUCAAUCGAUUGUUGAAAAAAGGAUCUUGAUAAUAAAUCAUCAAAAUAUUUACGACCCAAAUCUUCACUAUCCUUCAUUUUCUUCUGGUCAUACAAGAACCCCUCAGCCAUCCACAGCAAAACCAAUUCAUUCCUAUCAAACUCGCGAUCCUUUGGUAAUAUUGCGCAAUAAGAGAAACAUCGCUUCAAAUGAGGUGGAAGAUGAAGAUAACUCAAUCUUAAGAAUGGAAGGAUAUUGCUCUCGUUCUCUGGUAAUUCCCAUAUCUUACUCCUCGACACUUCCUUCCACGAAUCAGGAUUCGGUUCACCCCUUAAGAUGCCUCCAAGAGCUUUUGCUGCUAAAGGUAAUCCUCCACAUCUUUCGACAAUCUCGUCACCUAUUUCUUUUAGCUCCGAAUGGUCGUCAAAAUUAUUUGCUCCAAGAGCAUGCUGGGCAAACACAGACAUACAUUCAUUGUGUGAGAGCUUCUUAAGAGAAUAUGCUUGAGUGGCACCUAUCCUUGACGAAACAUGCUGACUUCGAGUCGUGACGAUAACUCUGCUUUGAGGAGCCCCUGCUUCAAAAGGACCCCAAAACAGAGUCCAUUGCUCAUAGUUCUGGGUCCAAACAUCAUCUAGGACAACUAAAAACUUCUUCCAAGACAAAUUUUGCUUCAAUUUUACCUGAAGCACAUGUAAAUCUUUAUCAUCACCACCAUCGCCCAGUUGAAGAAGAAAUGUUUUUGUGACCCUGGAAACAUCAAAAUCUUCACCAACAGACACCCAGGCUUUUAAAUCAAACUGCAACAUGGGAUCAUUGUAGACUAGCUGAGCUAGAGUUGUCUUGCCAAGGCCUCCCAUCCCAACUAUGGAGAUCACAGAUACCUGGGCGUGACUUGUCUCAGCAUUCAACAAUUUCAACAUCGCCUUCUUAUCUUCCUCCCUACCAUAAACCUUUGCUUCAUUAACCAAAGAGGUUGCGGGUGGUCUUUCUGUCACAUGGCUCACCCUCCUCGUAGUAUAUUCUGCUAAACGGAGUUCAUCUUUCUGCUUUAUGAUCUCAUCUAAUCUUGCACUAGUUUCCUCUAUUUUGGCAUCCAUUUCAAGAUUGAACUUAAUAGUAUUUAGAUUUAUAUUCCCCCCACCACACAUACCACAGAAAAACUCGUGGACCUUAUUCUUCGGAUGAACAUGUUCCUCUUCCAAAUUGCGUUGCUGAACCUCCGUGGCAAGUUCAUCAAUGAUAUCCUCCAGGUCGUAAGCCAAGUCUCUGAGAUCGCAUAACCAGAUCUUCACCGAUCGAUUUGCCGUCUGCUUCUCCUCUGCAUCUUCGAGCACCGCAUAAAUUCGCGGGAGCAUCUUUUCCCACUUCUUGAGUUGAGCCAAGACUUGACCUUGGCCUACGUAUUUCAUCAAGUCAAUAGAGUUCAACCUGUCGAGAAGCCCCUGAAAGCAAACAGAAAGGAUAGAGCCAGCAGCAGCUACCGCAAAUUCCAUAGCAAAGAACGAGUUGUAAGAGAAGAAAGAAGCUACGAACUCUGAAGAUGGAAAGAAAGAGUUUGCAAACACAGUUUUAACUGUUGUGAAUGAGCUGAGAAACUAGGAGGCGAAAAUGGGAGGCCAAAUGAUGGGGAAGAAGUUAUUUAAUGUUAUUUGCAAUUACUUCACUAUUAAUUUAAGAACAAUUUAGUAUUAUAUUUUAUCAAAUUUAAUUAAAAGAUUUUGAUUCAAUAAAUUUAUUAAAAUAAGUAAUACAAUUAAGAUACAAAUAUCAAAAAUUUAAACAAUAAAAGUAUAAAUAUGAAAUUAUUAUACUGUUUAUCAGCAAUUGAAUGAAGAAAUUUGUAAACAACUGAAAAUGAAUUGGGCAUUGCAAUUGAAUGAAGGCUGCAGAGCUCAACAGACAUGGAGUCCCUACCAAAUUAAUGGAUCAGUGGUAUGCGAAUGACCUGAGAAAUAAGGAGAGAAAAAUGGUACAAUAAUUGGGUUAUGGUGGGUCCCAAUUAUUAAAUUAGAUUAAAUAGUAUAUGUUUCAAACUGAAUAUUUAUAUUUUAAAAAAUAUGAAAUGUAUAUAUUUUAUUUCAUUAAUAAAGUGAAUAGAGAUAUAAGUUGUUGCAUAAUUAAUCUAGGAAGGUUUAAAAUUCUAUCCCAAUCUAUUAUGUACACAAUUGACUUUGUUUUGAUUGUCGGUGCAAUGAUUACAUUCCUCAAAAAUGAUUUUGAAACCAAUUUUAAUAUAGGCCAAUAAAAUUGUUACUGUAAUUAGAACCCAAUUAUGAAAAGAGUAAAAUCAGAAUAAGUAUUGAAUUUUAAUAUAUAUAACUGCAUUUAUAUAGUUAAUAAUUUUGAUUAUUUUUUUUAAAAGUGAAAAUGCAAAUCCAAUUAUAAAGUUUGAUGUUGGAAUGUAAAACUAUUUAUUUUUCAAUAUGUAUCUUUAAAAAUACUCUGUGUUUGAAAUUUAAUUUUAAAUUUUUGUUAAAAAAAUAUUUUUAAAUAUUUAUAAUUUUAAUUGUGCGGUUAACUUUUUAUGCAGUGUUGCGCGGAUAUUAGAUCUAGUAUAUAAAUAAAAUAGAGCUAAUUCAAUCCAAAAAUCUUUAAGAAAACAAAACAAACCGAUUACAAUUCAAUCCAAUCUAAAAUCAUAAUCACUAUCCAAAAACAGCCCACGGUUCAUAAUGCAAAAUCCAAUAUUUAAUUCAGAAUUCAUAAUCGGCCAAAUCGACUCAACACACCCAGAACACAUUUCACCCAGAGAAGAUGCAAUACUAAAUAGAGUAACAAUCAAUCAAUUAAGCGGCAAAAAUUCAAAUUCGACAUCACAAUAUCUAUAAAAAAAUAAUAAAAAUUAAGUCACACAUAAAAUAAUAAAUUAAAAUUUUAAAAAAUACGAUUGAAAAAAAUAACUCUAAAAAAAUAAUUAUAAAGAAAAGAGUCGCAAUAAAUUCAGCUGUCAUCGAUUUUUUUUCUUUUUAUUUUAUUUUUAAUUUAAUAGUACAUCAUUAGAAAUUUUAAAAAAUUUUAAAUGAAUACACUAACAAAAUGAAUUUUAAUUUUCUUUGAUCAAAAGAGAAUACAUUGAAUAAUAAAAUGAAAAAAUAAUUCAGAUGUAAAAUAUCGAAAGAUGGAACAUGUUUUGAAGAGAUUUUAAUUUACGAUUCAUGCUAUAUCAUGCAAGCACAAUGAUUUUUCUCUUAUUCAAAUUAUCAUAAUUUUAAUUUAAAUUCAGUUAUUAUGAUAUGUGUGUGCGUUUAUUUAAAACAAAUAAUAGCCAUCCCUUACUCUUUAAUUAUUUUCUAAAGUUGUAUUAUUAAUAAUAAUUAUAAAAUUAAUUAUGCUUUUUUAUUAUGUUAUUAUUUAUUAAUUAAUUAACAAAAUAAAAAAUUAAUGAAAUACUUCUUUAUUUAAAAAUAAAAGAUAAAUAUUUUUAAUUUAAAGUUUUAUUCUCAUAAGAAAAUAAAAAAUUUUCUUCAAUUUUCUUGUAUGAUGACUUCAUUGACUAGUGGAAGUUUUCGGAGGAAAUUAGUGUAUAGGUUAUUUUCUCUGCUAUUACAUAAAGUUUCCUUGGAGAUGAGUCAUAUUUUGUAUUUAUUCUUAUUUUUAAGUUUAUUUGUUUUAAAUAAAAUAUAAAAUACUUUAAUUAUCCUAGAAUUUUAACACUAUACUGUUAUGAGCAAUUAAAUAAAGAAAUUUGUAAACAACUGAAAGUAAUAAUAUAAAUUAUUAAAAUUUAAUUUCUUUACCAAAUUAAUGAGAAUCACGUGGGAGAGAAACAUGGUACAAUAAUUGGGCUAUGCUGGGUCCCACCACCUUAUUCUCUUGCAGAAGUUCUUGACUUUAUUUUCAAAUAAAAUAAAUUAUAUGUCUGAAUAUAUUAUUUUUGCAUUAUUUAUUAAAUUAAUAUUAUGUAUAAAUGAUGUUAAGGAAGUGUUGCGGAAACAUAUAUUUGCUAAUAGAUUUUUUUAAAAAACGAUGAAAAAAAUAUUUUAUUUUUUUAAAAGUAUAAAUUAUUUAUUAUUUAAUUAUUAAUUUAAAAAUUAAAAUAUAUUAAUAAAUUUACAGAAGCUUUUAUAAAAUUUUCAAAAUAUAAUAAAUGACUUUUUAUUUUUUUAUUAAAAAAUAUUUUUUUAAUUAUAUUUAUUUUUAAUAUAAUAUCUAUACUUAUAAUUUUAAGCGUUUGAUUAUACUAUUAGAGAACAGCAUAAACUUAACAGUAGAUCUAUAAACAAUAAUGAUAUAAUUUUUAUAAUAAAUAUAAUAAAAUUUAUUAUAAUAAAAAUAAAAAAUUAGUAAAUACAAGACUUAUUAUAAUUUUUUUAGUAUUAAUGAUAAAUAAAAAGGUUAAAAUUUCAAUUUUUUACAUCUAGAUAAAAAUUCAGAAAAAUAAAUUUAAAAAUUUUGGAUUAAAUUAUAUUAGUUUUAAAAUUUUAAAUUAAAUUAAAAAUUUUAAAUUAAAUUAAAAAUUUAAAUUUUUUUAUUAAUUUUAUUAUUUACGUAAUAUAUAAAUAUAAUAAAAUAAUUUAUAAUAUUUUAUUAUUAAGAGACACUUUCUCCAUUUAAGUUUUUAUCUUAAAUAUAAUAUUAAUAAAAUUUAUAAAUUUUAAAUAAUUUUAUCAAUUUUAAAAUCUUUUAAAUUAAAUUAUUAAUAGUAAAAAGUUUUAAAGUUUAAUUAAUAUAUAUUACAUUUUUUAUUAAUAAAGUCUACACACCUAACAUGUGUGGAAAUUUUCAUUGAAUUUAUUUGAGAGAAAGAAAUGUUAGCAGUUGGGAAAAUGAAUGGUUGUAAGUAAGGCAAGGUCUAUAUUCAGCUUUUGCUUUGUAAAGGGGAAUCAUUGGAAAAGUCCUACAAUGAAUUAUUUGAGAGAGAGCAGCCAUGGCAUAGUAGCCCUACUACUCACUUUUCGAGACCAUGAUACCUACUCUAUAUAGGUAUAUUAAAUUUUAAAAUAAUUUAUAAUUUAAUUUCUUAUUAUUAUUAUUAUUAGAAAAAAUUACUUUUUAAUCCCUAAAAUUUAACGUAAUUAACACUUCUGUCCCUCUAUUUUGAAAACUCAAUAUUUAAAUCACUCACUUUCUCUUUUAUCCAAAUUCGUAAUCUUUCUGUCCAAAAUAGUCGUUUGGGACACGUAAAUUGAUAAAAUUGACUCUCACUAAAAGUUCCGCUAUUUCAAAAUCAUAAAAUCACAAAAUCCAAAUCCAAUGUCUCUUCACUGUAAAUUUUUUUUCCUACUCUUUCUGCAACUUCUUCACCAUAACUCUUACCCUUUCUUCUUCUUCUUCUUCUUUUCUUCUUCACCAUAACUUUUACCUUUUCUGCAACUCUCAACUUCUUCAUCAUUAUCAUCAUCUUAAAAAAAUUACUUAUUAAUAAAUUAAAAAAAAUAUUUUUUAACAUUAUCUUAAUAAAAUAUAUAUUAAUGAAAUUUCAUCAAAUAUAAAAAAAUAUCAUUUCAAACAAAAAAAUGAUUAUAUCUAAUAAAUUUUCUAACUAAAAUAUGAGCAGUUAGAGUAAUAUUAUGACAAAUUCAUCUGACAAAAAAAUCAGCUCUAGAGUCUAACAAAAAUUUACAGUCAUUCAAAAUCAAAUUUCUACAUAAGAUAAUUUGGUAAAAUACUCCUAAGUGUCUGUCUAAACUCCUGCAUAAGAUAAUUUGAUAAAAUACUUUUCUUUCUUUCUCAUCUCUCAAAUUUAAAUCAUUAAAAUCUUCCGAACAAAAGUACAAAAGAAACUUAUAAGAAAUAAAAUUCAAAUAAAAUUUCAAAACUGACAUCGUUAUGGCGAUUCUGAAAAUCUAUAAUAACAAGUAAACUUCCAUUGAAUAUUAUCUUUCGAAACAACUAAAUUAAUAAAAUUUAAAAAAAAGUCAAUUAUAAAAACAGAUCCAUAAUUUUUUUAUAUUAACGAAAUACUUCCUCCUAAUCAUUAUCUAUUGAUUGAGAAAUAACUAUCAAAAUAUAAAAAAUUAUGAAAAAAUUUUAUAUAAGAACUAAGAGUUGUUCGGUUUAUAACUAAAAACUAAAUCCUCAAAUAUAAUAACAGUCCGAGAAUUACUGUCAUAAAUAAAGAGGCCUGCAUAUUAUGAAAAUUGAUUGAAUUGUAUGUGAUAAAUAUUUUUAAAGUGAUGAUUGAAAUUUCUCUAAAGUUAAAUUUAAAAUAUAUGAUGGAAAUAAUAUUAAUCAUUAUAUACAUAAAAGAAAUAAGUAUUAAUUAUGGUGAUAAAAUCCACUUGUAUUUUUAAAGGAAGAAUUCAAGUUUAAUUUUGGACAAAAGAUUAUUACGAGAAACAAUAAUGAAUUCUGAAAUAAUCACAAAACAAACAAAAAAGAUUUAAUAAAUUUUAAAAUAUAAUAAGAAAAAAAAGUGUAAUAUUAAGAGGAGUGAAAAAAAUAUAAUGAUGAAAAGGAGAAAUUUAAUACUGUCUCCCAAUACUCUCCUUUUGGUACAAUUUUUCUUUUAAAAAAAAAAUUAAAUGUAUUUCACAUGCUGUAUUAAGAGAAAAAAAAAAAAAUCUCUUUCAAUGAUUUAAGAAUUUCUCUUCUUGCGGCUUUUCUCCUAGCGGGUUAGAUCCCAGAGAAUCCUGUGAAGUUGUGUUUAUUCAAUGAAUUGAAUUCCUUUUCCUAAAGUUAAAAAAAAAAAAAAAAAAAAUUACUGGAGAAAGAAGCCCAGUAAGUAGCUACCACACGCAACUCCAUUGAUUUUUAUUUUUUUAAUAAUUAGAGCUGAUUUAGUUUAACCGUAAAUAUAUAUGCUGAUAAUUGAUAAUUGUUACUGAUAAUUAAUUGCUAUUUACUAUUGAAAUAUUUAAAAUAUUUAAUUUCCUAUUGAAAUAUUUAAAAUAUAUAUAUAUAUAUAAUUUAUUUAAUAUUAAAGUAUAUGUAAAAUUAAUAAUUUAUUACAGAAUAAAUUAUUUUUUAAUUUUUAAAUUUUAAUAUAAUUAAUAUAUUAAUUUUUAUAUUUUUAAAAUUAAAUAUUUAUAUCCUUCUAUAAUUAGUUCAUUUAAAUUAGAAGUUAUUCUAUCAAUUUUUACCAUUAAAAAAAUGUAAAUGUUCUUAUUAGAUUUUUAAAUGAAUAAAUUAUAUUUAAAUUCUUAAAUUUUAAUAUAAUUAAUGAUUCGAUCUUUAAUAUUUUUAAAAUCAUAUAUUUUUAUUAGUUUGUCCUCAUUUAUUAUAAUUUAAAUUUUUUAAUUUUUAAUUUUUUUAUUUAAAAAAAUACUUAAAUCUCUAUUAAGUAUUGUUUAUAAUAUCUUAUUUAAUUAAUUUUUAACUCUUUUUAUUAUUUAAUUUUUAUUCAUUAAAAUAUUUUAAUAUUUUUAAAAAAAUACUUAUCAUUUCAACUAUAUUUAAGUGGUAUAAAUAUUGUCUAUAAUAUCUUAUUUAAUUAAUUAUUUAUAAUAUUUUAUUUAAUUAAUUUCCAUUAAUUAUUGUUUAUAAUAUUUUAUUUAAUUAAUUUUUAACUCUUUUUGUUAUUUAAUUUUUAUUCAUUAAAAUAUUUUAAAAUUCAUAAUUUUAAAACUUUAAAAAAAUAAUUAUAAUUUCAACUAUUUUUAAGUGAUACAAAUAAUCUUUAAAUAAAUUAUAAAUUUUUAUAAAGAGUAUUAUAAAAAGAGAUUGUAAUUUUAGAAAAAAUUUGACAACCGACUAGUUUUAAACUAAUAUUUAUAAUAGAUAAAAAAAAUUAUAAUUUUAAAUAGUUUAAACGUAGAGAUAUUUAAAGAUUUAUUUUUAAAAUUACAAAGUCUGAUCUGCCAAUUAUUUUAAAAUUUAAGGAUUAAAAUAUAAUUUAUAUAAUAUAAAAUUUCCAUCUAAAUUGAAAAUAAUAGAUAUUUAAAAUAUUUAUUUUUUAUUUGAAUAAUUGAUUGGAUAAAAUAAUUUACAGAUAAAAUGAUUAUAGGGAAAUUUAAGUAUUUAAUUUUAAAAAAAUAUUAUAAUAAAAUAUUUUAAAAAUAAAAAAUUAAUAAAUAUAAGACUUAUUAUAAUUUUUUUAGUAUUAAUGAUAAAUAAAAAAGUUAAAAUUAUAAUUUUUACAUCAAGGUAAAAAUUCAGAAAAAUAAAUUUAAAAGUUUUGGACUAAAUUAUAUUAGUUUUAAAAUUUUAAAAUUAAAUUAAAAAUUAAAAAUUUAAAUUUUUUUAUUAAUAUUAUUUAUUAGGUAAUAUAUAAAUAUAAUAAAAUAAUUUAUAAUAGUUUAUUAUUAAGAGACACUUUCUCCAUCUAAGUUUUUAUCUUAAAUAUAAUAUUAAUAAAAUUUAUAAUUUUAAAUAAUUUUAUCAAUUUUAAAAUUUUUAAAUUAAAUUAUUAAUAGUAAAAAGUUUUAAAGUUUAAUUAAUAUAUAUUACAUUUUUUUAUUAAUAAAGUUUACACACCUAACAUGUGUGGAAAUUUUCAUUGAAUUUAUUUGAGAGAGAGAAAUGUUAGCAGUUGGGAAAAUGAAUGGUUGUAAGUAAGUCAAGGUCUAUAUUCAGCUUUUGCUUUGUAAAAGGGAAACAUUUUAAAAGUUGUGCAAAACGUUGUGUCGUACAAUGAGUUAUUUGAGAGAGAGAAGCCAUGGCAUAGUAGCCCUACUACUCACUAUUCGAGACACAUGAUACUUACUGUAUACAGGUAUAGUAAAUUUUAAAAUAAUUUAUAAUUUAAUUUCUUAAUAUUAUUAUUAUUAAUAAUUCAUUUUAAAAAUUUAUUAAAAUAUUUUUAACUAUUAUUUUCAUUAAUAAUAUAAUUUUUUCAUCUGUUUAUACCGUUAAAAAUAAAAAAAAAUAAAUUACCUUUUCUUCUCUCCUCCUUAUUUUUUCCUUUUCUUCUCCUUCUUUUUCAAUUUUUCCUGUCCUCUUUCUCUUUCUCCUUCUAUUCUUCCUCUCCUUUUCCUUUGCUUUUUCUUCAAUUUUUCUUUUUCUUCAAUUUUAAUUUUUUUUCUUUUUCUUUUCAAAAAAAAAAAUAUAAUUUUUUACUCAUUAUCAUCCUCUUAAAAAAGUUACUUAUUAAUAAAAAAAAAUAUUUUUUUAACAUCAUCUUAAUAAAAUAUAUAUUGAUAAAAUUUUAUCAAAUAAGGAGGAUAUUAUUUUAAAUAUAAAAACUAUUAUAUGUAAUAAAUUCUCUAAUCAAAGUAUGAACAGUUAGAAUAAUAUUACGAUAAAUUCAUUUAAAAAAAAUUAAUUAUAGAAUCUAAUAAAAAUUUAUAAUCAUUCAAAAUCAAAUCUUUCCAUAAGAUAAUUUGAUAAAAAUAUUCACCAAGUAACUGUCUAAACUCUUAUAUAAGAUAAUUUAAUAAAAAUAUUCAUCCUUCUUUCUCAUCUCUCAAAUUUAAAUCAUUAAAAUCUUACGAAUAAGGUACGAAAAAAUUUUUUUACAAAAUAAAACUCAAAUAAGAUUUUAAAACUGACGUGAUUCCAAAAACACAUAAUAACUUUUGUUUACAAUAUUUUAUUUAAUUAAUUUUUAACUUUUUUUGUUUUUUAAUUUUUAUUUAUUAAAAUAUUUUAAUAUUUUUUAAAAAAUACUUACCAUUUCAAUUAUUUUUAAAUAGUAUAAGUAUGGCCUAUAAUAUCUUAUUUAAUUAAUUAUAUAUAAUAUCUUAUUUAAUUAAUCUUCAUUAAUUAUUGUCUAUAAUAUCUUAUUUAAUUAAUUUUUAAUUAUUUUUAUUAUUUAAUUUUUAUUCAUUAAAAUAUUUUAAUAUUCAUAACAUCAAAACAUUGAAAAAAUAAUUAUAAUUUCAGCUAUUUUUAAAUAGUACAAAUAACCUUAAAUAAGUUGUAAAAUUUUAUAAAGAAUAUUAUAGAAAGAAAUUGUACUUUCAGAAAAAAUUUGACCACCUACUAAUUUUAAACUAAUGGAUGAAAAAAUUAUAAUUUUAAACAGUUUAAAUAUAGAAAGAUUUAACGAUUUAUUUUUAAAAAUAUAAAUCUGGAGAGUUGUUGAGCUUAGUUUCUACCAUUUCACUGCGACAGACAUAAUUCAAAAUCCGGAGUGCUGCAAAGUCAUCUCUAACAGGAAAAGGUAUGCAAAGCAUGCAGAGUCAUCAAUACCAACACGGGGGAUAUCAGAAAUGAUAGGCCAGUAGUCUCCACCUUUAUCUUUUAAGCAACGGUCCUGCAGCAGAGGGCAGUUGUGAAUUACUAGGCAUUCAAGUGUAGCAGGAAGGCCCUCAGCUGGGAAGGACUGCAGUUUUGGGCACUGCCCAAUAUAUAAUUCUUUAAGAGAGGUGAGCUUUUGGAUACCCCUGGAUAUGGAUUUUAGAUUCUUGAAUCCAAUAAUCAAUAGCUGGGUAAGAGAAGUGGGAAGCAGAGAGCCGUCGUCAUCUGGAAAUGAAAUAAAAUCUCCAGCUGACUCCACUUCCAGAACCAAACAUCUAAGAGAGGCGAGUCUGUGGAGUCCCCACUCUAAUAUUGGCUGUUUCAUAUUCAAGCACUUUCGAAUAUGAAGGGAAGUUAGGUCAGGGGGUAAACAACCUUCUCCAAAGGACUCCAUACCUUCACAUAGUGAUAUAACUAUAGAUUGAAGGGAAGUGAGGUUUUGCAUCUGAUUGGGUAGAGACCUCAAAUUUUUGCACCGGGAAAUUUGAAAUGACACAAGCUUGGGGUUGGGCAAUCCCAUCUCUGGGAACAACUCUAAUUGAUGACAGCCCCCUAUUUCUAACUUUUGGAGACUCUGGAAGUCUUGCAUAUGAUUGGAUAGAGACCUCAAUCCUUCACAGUGAGCUAUUGUUAAAGAGAUAAGAGAAGGGAGAGGCAAUUCCUUCCCUGGAAAUGACUCUAAUUGAGGACACUUCUCUAUGUGUAAUUCUGUAAGAUGAGAAAGCCCACAGUAUAGCGAGUUUAAAAAUUGUGGUAUCCAGUUGUGAAUUCGAAGAGUCUUAAGGGAAUAUGGAAACUUUCCAUUUGAAGAGCAUCUGAGGGAUUCACAUUCAGAGAUAUGCAAUUUCUCCAGAUGAGACGUCUCGCCACUGUAAUUACUAGGAUACACAAUUCCUUCCGGCAUAGACUCCAAAGAUUUACAGCUCUUAAUACGAAGACGUAUCAUGUUGUGCGGCAAACCCCCUGUUGGGAAGGAGACUAAACUUGUACAUCCAUUUAUAGUAAAAUAUUUGAGAGAUUUGAGGUCUUUCAGUCCACUUGGCAACUCCUUCAGAUUUGGACACCCAUAUAUAUUCAAAACUUCAAGAUUGCAAGGCAAAAGCCCUGGCUCUCCAUCUACCAACGACACAAGCUCAUCACAUAACUCGAUUUCCAAAUGCUUUAGACUAGUAAGACUGGUGGCAUUAGUCACACUCCUGAGAAUUGCCUCUUGACAUUUUGUAAAAUGAAGUCUUGUAAGUGAUGGGAGCACUUUUGGUAAGUCAACCAAAAGCGGGCAAUCAACGAUAAAAAGAUUUUCCAGUGAAGGAAGGAAGGUGGGCAAUUUUCCAACCAACUUGGGACAAUUUCGUAUUUGGAGUUGAUGCAGCUUAGGAAAUUUUGGCACAGAAUCUUCGCCCAGACCUUUAGACCAAGCCCACAGCUCCCACUCAUCCAUAUUUCUAAUCUCUAGUUCUUCCAAACAAGAAAAACAUGAAUCAUCCUCGUAAAACUCAACACCCACUUCUUUCACUCCUCUCAUAUCUCCCAUGCUCAACUUUUUUAAUGACUUUAAUCGUCCAAGUGGUGGCAAUGAUGUCAUUUGGCGACACUUCCAUAGCUGCACCUGCACCAUGCCAGAGAAUGAAGGCUCACCCAGCCAUGAUGGGAAUUUCCUACCACCAAAUGAUGUAAUUGAUAGGCUUGACAGACUUUGAUAUGGCUGAAUUGAGUAGAGAACUUGUUCUUCAUGACUUGGGUUUCUCAAAUCAUCGAAACGUUCAUCCGCUUCAGCCCAUUCCAAGUGCAACUCAGUUAUACCAGGCUUAUCCUUCAAAUUGACAAAACCCGCAUCUCGAAUAUCUGCUACUUCCACAUUCUCUAAACUUGUAAUAUGAAGCUGCCCUCGAAGAUUACAAAGUUUCUUUAGCUCUGUGAUCCGACCAUUGCUUUUCCCCACGAUAAAUUUGGUCAACACGCAGAGACUAGUCAAAUUACCAAUAUGUGGUGGCAUCUCUUUCAAUUUCCUUGUGCCAAUAAUGUCAAGAUGCUGCAAGUUGAGUAAAUUGCAUAUGCCUUUAGGUAACUCAAUAAGCUCAUCACAAUCACGCAACUUUAAUGUCUGUAAGUUGAAGAGUUUAUCCACUGAUUCAGGCAAUCUU